UCACACGCUUUAAUUUGUCCGAAAGUAACUGUAUUAUUGCACAUUGCGAUUAUGUUAUUAAGUAAUCGCUAGAGGGUAUUUAGUGCUACUGAAUUAGUGGAACUGUUAGUGGAACUGUUAGUGGAACUGUGUACUAAUCUUGUAGAUUGAUUUUUCUAAUUAUAGUAUAGCUUCAAGCAGUGAACCAGAAUUUUCGAGAUUAAAUUAAGUAAAACAAAUAUCAUUAUUACUAGCUGAACCAGAAUUUCCCUUGGGAUGUAAUGCUUUCCUGACGAAGGUUCUUGUAUGCUGGCAUGAUAACAACCGAUUAUAUGGGCUGAAAGUGGAAUAUGUGAAGCUAAAGGAAUGUUUUAUCUCUAUAAUCACUAAUGAUAUCCGCUGUGCGAGAGCCGUGGAUAGUGAGGGGUCUGAGACAGUGAGACAUGCACUCCGUAUUAACCGGAAACUAACGUUCGAAGGAAAAAAGAAUAUCCAGACUCAACACUGACAACACUCUUGGAGUAUUCAAAGACAGGACAACACUUGUUAUGCUCCAGCUCUACAAAUCCCCAGAGUGGAGUACUGCUGCCCGCUUUGGAAUCAAAACAAGAUCUAUGAUGUCCAGUCUUUCGAGAGCAUACAACGCUAGUUCACCAGACGGAUUCUAGGGCUCUAGAGACACCGAUUAAAUGGAAUAGACUGAAGGAACUGAAACUUACAUCACUGCAAAGACGCCGAGAACGCUACACCAUCAUACAUCUGUGGAAAGUUCUCCAGGGAAUAUGUCCAAAUGUUCUAGAUGUACAGUUCAGAGAGAAUGCCAGACUGGGAGUUAAAGUUAUACUCCCUUCUCUCACCAAACAAGCAUCAGCUGCUACACGCUCCACCUACGACCACUCAUUCGCAGUAAGAGCUGGAAGACUCUGGAAUGUUCUCCCCAAAAUUGUCAAUACUCAAAGGACUUUGACAAGCUUCAAGACAUCUCUUGGAAACUUCCUAGACACCCUUCCAGAAUCCAGACAAGCCCCUACUCCUGGAUACAGUGCAGAAAACUCGAUUUCUACAGACAUAGCGGAGUUCUACAGUUACUAGCUACGAGUCCACAUGGAUCGAGAUCUCAUCAAUCCUACCUUCGCUCACUACAAAUGGACUCCACCAAGAUGCUGCUUCCCCGGAGUUCAACAUAGCUGAAGGAUUGCUCCACGGCCUCUACUGCACUCAAUGUUAUCCUUUUCAAACCUUACUAUCUGGAAAUUUCUGGACUGUCUGAAGGCGGAGCAGGACAUAACAUAUGUGAAACUCACGAAGAGACUGUGCAGAGAACGUCCUAGCCGAGGAGCAGCAAAGUGGAUCUUAAGUAUGACGAGAGACUGCAGACUGUUAACUUGAUUUUCUUAAAGUUAUUGGAUGUAUGAUUUGAAUUUAUGAUAUAAUGAAUUUGUGAUUUAAAUUUAUUAACAUGACUUUCAAA